CCCGCCCCUCCAUGGCGGAGCGCGGCGCGGGGCCUGGCGGAGGCACCGGGCAGCGCGGGGCGGGAAGCGGCAACGCUGCGCCUACGGGAACGGGUCGGCGAGGCGCAGCCCGGAGCUGCGGGCAGGAUUCGAGCUGGCGGCACCGAACGCCUCAGCGCGCAUUAAAGUACCUCAGCGCAGGGACAUUUACACGGCAGCAAUCGGAGAAAGGAGGGAGAAGCAGGGCGGAGGUCAGGGCUGCAAAACCAGGUCUCCAAACUACGAGUAAUCGGUUGUCUAAAUAGUGGAACAGCAACACGCUCAAUGAAGAGGAUACAACACAUGCAUCCUUUGUGAAUCAGGGCAGAUCACCAUAGAGCUCACAUCAACCACACUGCUGAAAUUUCAGGACUGUUUUGAGGUAUGACUGAGAAGCAGAACAGGGAGAAGAAAUACUGAAAGCUAUAUUGCUUUUUAAAGCUGAUUACAUAAAAUCACAAACACAUAGAAAUCCCAAUCUUUUGAACAAAGUUCUUUGCACUCAUGUAUAAUACUACUACUAUUUACAAAAGAGUAGACUGAACCCUAUACAAGGAAAUAAUAUUACUGCAUCUCUCCUGUCAUUGCCUCUUCAGCAUUAAUUAUUCAAUUCCUGGUGUUUACUGUUUGGCACCUUCAAUAUAUUCUGUACAGUAACUUUACCUGCAAAAGUCUUUUUUGGGAAGCUAUCCCUGCCAAAUGGAAACUACCAUCCUAAUAACCCUUCAUAAACAGAUGAAAGAUUUACUCUUCAGCCCCCUGAACUACAUCACUGCACUACAAGAUGAGCAUAAUUUAAGCAAAUGUAUAUCAAAAAGCAGCAACAGAGAAGGAAAAAAACAACAAACCAAGGACUGCUCUGCAAACAUAGACUUGACACAAUGUAUCACUCAACCAAACAUCAUUUUUGAUGCUUUGUUUCUAACUUCUUUCUGUCAGUAUCAAAACUCUCAACAUGUAGCAAAACACAAAUUUUGAGCAUUCUUUCAAGUUAGGUCACUCACAAAGGUGAAGAAAGAAUCCAGUGUUUACACUGAGUUAAUACUUCAGCUCUCAUAUAAUUAAAUCAAAACCUCUAUCAGCAAUGAGACAAAUCUAGUCUUAAUUAGUUUACAACCUCUUCCUCAUUCUCUCUGGAAGACAAACCUGGUCUGCAGAUGAUUAAGAUGGUAUGCAGUGGAGAAAGCCUUGCUGUGAGAAUCCCUAGUCAUUUACUGCUGAAGUAAUCCCAAAAUAGAUGGGCUCAUUCAGAAUUAAAGUCCUGCCUCCUCUCUUAUGUGGAGAGGGGCUACAAAGCAAGGCAACAAUGAAAUCCAGGGAAAAAACAACAACCAAUGAAACAAAAAAGUCGAUCAUGACUCAAAACAUGACAUACAUGCAAACACUAAUAAACAUGAAAACCAGAUGUAGCUCAUAGUUUCAGGAAAGAAAAAAAAAAAUUAAAGAAAGACACAUUGUGUUCAGAGAAAUCCGAUACUUAUAUGUAUCAGAUAGCAAACAAGCAGUAAGGAACAUUUUCUUUGCCCUGUCUCAGAGCUGGCUACCUUGGGCCAAUGCCUGAUGCAUCUCUCCAUUACUCAUAGAGAUCUUCCAAACUCACAUAUACAUAAAUUAGAUCUGGUAUACAAUAUGGCUUCAUAUAAAAGAUAAUCUUAAGAUGCAACCUCCCCUGCUCCACCCCCCCCC